UACAGAGGGUGCGAGCGUUGUCCGGAAUUAUUGGGCGAAAGAGCUUGUAGGUGGUUUGUCGCGUCUGCUGUGAAAAUCCGAGGCUCAACCUCGGAACUUGCAGUGGGUACGGGCAGACUAGAGUGUGGUAGGGGAGACUGGAAUUCCGUGGUGUAGCGGUUGGAAUGCGCAGAUAUCAGGAGGAACACCGAUGCGAAGGCAGGUCUCUGGCCAUUACUGACACUGAGAAGCGAAAGCAUGGGGAGCGAACAGG
rnacentral:rRNA from 1 species